GUCGUCGUCGCGUUCCUCCAAUCCUCGACAAAUCUAUUCGGACGUUGAUGCUGAGCGUAGAUCAAGAUCUUGAAGGAGACACCUCGAAGAGUCUCCUUUACUCCUUGGAUUUGCCCCCUACGCACGCUUAAGAUCGUGAUCUUUAAUCUACGUAGCCACGUAAUAAAUCUAAGAUGGAGUUUGGUUGGCUGCGAAAGAUGAGUCAAGGGCAAGGGGGAAGGAAAAGAUCGCUCCUGGCGCCACGUUAUCGUAAUCACUAUGGACUUCCUGGUAUGGCAAUCGAGACGACAAGCGAGAAAGGACACGAAUCCAAAGGCGUUCCAGGAAUGUCCUACGUGCAUCAUUUCUCUUUCUCUUUAAAUUUCGCACACAUGUUUUGUGCUGGACUGGCUGACGUCAGCUUGUCGACCUGGCGAUUCGAUCCGGUUGGAUACUAUAAACGAACGAGGAAGUCUCGUCUAGUGAAUCGCGUUCGAAAAAAAGAAGCAAGCAAAAAGUGAAGAGCAUGAGGAGCAGAGCAAAAAAAAAAAAAAAGAAAAAACGAAGAAGAGAAAAAAGAAAAAGAAAAAUAAAACUACACAAUAUCUUCCUUUUUCGAUCGAUAACACCAUCGAAACACAUCCGGAGUAAUCACUCCGCAUACCAACUGUUCGUCUAGUU